UACGUAGGGUGCAAGCGUUAAUCGGAAUUACUGGGUGUAAAGCGUGCGCAGGCGGUUUGCUAAGACCGAUGUGAAAUCCCCGGGCUUAACCUGGGAACUGCAUUGGUGACUGGCAAGCUAGAGUGUGGCAGAGGGGGGUAGAAUUCCACGUGUAGCAGUGAAAUGCGUAGAGAUGUGGAGGAAUACCGAUGGCGAAGGCAGCCCCCUGGGCCAACACUGACGCUCAUGCACGAAAGCGUGGGGAGCAAACAGG
rnacentral:rRNA from 1 species